rnacentral:misc_RNA from 1 species
GAACUGUAAGGUCGCACUUCACAGGUGAAUAAAAUCUUCCCGCGGAUUUAUGCAGUGCAGUUUAUUUCAGAAGUGCAAUUCAGUCGUUAAAAUCUUGUGACGAAUCAAAGUGAGGUGAAAAGUCGUGGGUGUAAUGUCAGAUCACAGAAAAUAAUAAUGAAAGCUAUGGCUGCGAUUCGACCUAGAAUUCAACACGGAUGACACAUCAUAGCUAAUGGAGAAGUGAUAUGGAUGAUACAGCGAGACAAUGGAAUAAACGUAGCAUAAUAACACUGUUUGCUGAAGCUUAUGGUUUCUCAGAUGUCCAUUUCGGAGGUUGUGGAAUUCUUUCUGUUUAUUGGCUUACUACCCAGAAUGAGGAUAGAAGGCACGGCACAUCUGAUAGAGGCAGUAAAGGUUUGCAGAAGCAUUUGUUAUCUAAUUGUAAAUAAUCCUGCAACUUGAAAGAUAUGUUUCAAGAAAUGAAGGCUGUUAUGGAUCCAUAAUACGGUUGCAUAUGAUGUUCUAUAUUUACAACGCCAGUUGUACGGUAACAGUUGUUCAUUACAUCUAUUGCCGAUAACCAUUCUUGAGUAAAUCAUUUUUUUUCAUGAAACGUAUUUUGUAGUAUUAUUCUAACAAUCUACAUCUAAUAGGACGAUAAAAAACCACUGGUCAUUUUAACUCUUAUUAGGUAACUAAUAACUAUUGUAUUUUUUACCCUUUUUGGUAAUUUGAAGUAAAAAUACUACAACACGUGGUGACAAUAAAUUUUUGCAACUUGUUUUAUCUUAAUCUGCAGCGUUUUUGCCAAACGACUGAUUAUCAUACACAGCCUUGAGAAAUAUCUAUUGACCUUGAUCAAUUACUGCAAUAUCGAUGAUAUUAUCAAAGAGCGUUUUAGCAUAUGAACAUUUCUGAAGAAACUAUACAUAUGUCUAAUACGGUACAGUAAUCAAAAUGCCCAGAAAAAUAAAUAGUAAAGUUAUGUUAUCAGUCACUCAGAGAAAAACAACAAAAAAGAAUUGGAUUUUGAUGAAAAGAAUGAUUCAACUCAACCAGUCCUCUG